CGCUUGAGGAUGGUCUGAUGAGCUGGACAGACGCUCACGGAGCUGUAUGAUCGGCUCUUGUCGACCGCUCGCGCGUCUGAUGCUUGCGUCGGUCCGCUCGACGGGUUGUCGGUUCAGGCUUGCUCGUCGCGACACUCUGCGCCUGCCCCGCUCCGCUCGAUGCGAGACUGCCGCCUUGGCUUGCCAAGCUCCUCAUCGUUCGUCAGCGUCUUGGCGGCGUGGCGGACCUCGGACUGCUAUUUGCGCUUUCAGAACGUCGCAAAACGGCAGGCUACGCUCGUGACUCAUUCGGCUGGAGCUUGCAAGUGCCUUCGACCGUACUUCUC
rnacentral:misc_RNA from 1 species